GGUGGUAAUGCCGGAUGCUCCGACUCCUCGCAUGGGGUGUCGGGAAAGAUUUCAUCGGUAUGGGAUGGGGUCGCGUCCUAUCAGGUAGUCGGCGGGGUAACGGCCCACCGAGCCUACGACGGGUAGCCGGCCUGAGAGGGCGACCGGCCACAUUGGGACUGAGAUACGGCCCAGACUCCUACGGGAGGCAGCAGUGGGGAAUAUUGCACAAUGGGCGCAAGCCUGAUGCAGCGACGCCGCGUGCGGGAUGACGGCCUUCGGGUUGUAAACCGCUUUUGAUCGGGAGCAAGCCUUCGGGUGAGUGUACCUUUCGAAUAAGCACCGGCUAACUACGUGCCAGCAGCCGCGGUAAUACGUAGGGUGCAAGCGUUAUCCGGAAUUAUUGGGCGUAAAGGGCUCGUAGGCGGUUCGUCGCGUCCGGUGUGAAAGUCCAUCGCUUAACGGUGGAUCUGCGCCGGGUACGGGCGGGCUGGAGUGCGGUAGGGGAGA
rnacentral:rRNA from 1 species